rnacentral:rRNA from 1 species
GAUGAACGCUAGCGGCGGGCCUAAUACAUGCAAGUUGAACGAGAUUGUUGGUAGCAAUACUGACAUGAAAGUGGCGCACGGGUGCGUAACACGUAUGUAACCUACCUUUAACUGGGGCAUAGCUUCGAGAAAUCGAAAUUAAUACCCCAUAACAUUUAGAAAAGGCAUCUUUUCUUAUCAAAGUUCCGGCGGUUAAAGAUGGACAUGCGGUGCAUUAGCUUGUUGGUGAGGUAACGGCUCACCAAGGCUACGAUGCAUAGGGGGUCUGAGAGGAUGAUCCCCCACACUGGUACUGAGACACGGACCAGACUCCUACGGGAGCAGCAGUAGGGAAUAUUGGGCAAUGGACGAAAGUCUGACCCAGCCACGCCGCGUGAAGGAUGACUGCCCUAUGGGUUGUAAACUUCUUUUGUAUGGGAAGAAAAUUCCGAACGUGUUCGGAGCUGACGGUACCAUAAGAAUAAGCAUCGGCUAACUCCGUGCCAGCAGACGCGGUAAAGUAGACGU